GACGAACCGUGCGACCGUUAUUCGGAAUCACUGGGCUUAAAGCGCGUGUAGGCGGGCCGCCACGUCGGCUGCUGAAAUCCCCCGGCUCAACCGGGGAACGGGCACCGAUACGAGCGGCCUCGAGGGGGGUAGGGGGGUCUGGAACUUCCGGUGGAGCGGUGAAAUGCGUUGAGAUCGGAAGGAACGCCCGUGGCGAAAGCGAGGCCCUGGACCCUUACUGACGCUGAGACGCGAAAGCCAGGGGAGCGAACGGG
rnacentral:rRNA from 1 species